rnacentral:lncRNA from 1 species
GUUUCACAAGAGAACACCAGCACCACCCGAGUGAGUGAGGAAGUCUAAAGCUGCAAGCACUCUCACAAGAGUGAGGGGGAGGGUGCAGUUCAGGAAGGUUAACGGGCCAAGAAUUAGGAGAGGGUCCUCUGCUCCUUUGUUAGAGAGGAAGACAGGCUGAAGAGUCAGCUUCAUGUGCAGAGUCCGUUACUUCCGUUGUAGCUUUGGGCAUGUUUAUUCUCUGUGCCUCAGUUUCUCCUCUGUACAAAUAAGUACCCAUCUCACAGCAUUCCAAGUUUGAACUGAGCUGCUAAUGGGCUAGAACAGUGCCGGCUACAUAGGACUUCUUUAUGAGGCUUCCCUCCCACAGCUUUAAAGGGUGAAACCCAAGAAGCACCUUCUAUCGAUACAAGCAGAGGGU